rnacentral:rRNA from 1 species
UACGGGGGGGGCAAGCGUUGUUCGGAAUUACUGGGCGUAAAGGGCUCGUAGGCGGCCAACUAAGUCAUACGUGAAAUCCCUCGGCUUAACCGGGGAACUGCGUCUGAUACUGGAUGGCUUGAGUUCGGGAGAGGGAUGCGGAAUUCCAGGUGUAGCGGUGAAAUGCGUAGAUAUGUGGAAGAACACCAGUGGUGAAGACGGUUUUCUGUGCCAAACCAGACGCUGAAGCGCGAAAGCUAGGGGAGCAAACAGG